GCGGAGCUAGCUAUAUGGCAAGGUUUGGCCACCGCCAUAUCUAAAAUUUAGUGCUAAUACUAGGUAUAGCUAUAUGUGUUUGAGGUUGUGUUCUGCCGCCUGUCGAUAAACAUCGCUGUAGUUCUACUGACGAUGGAAAGAUGGAAUCAUCGAAGACAGGGAUGCCGAAUCGGUAGGUGAGUUAGUCCCGUGGUGGGCCUGGUACCCUUGGGCCUGAUCGUUGAUGCGCAUGGGCUCACGACUUUGCCUGCAGUUUACGUGAAUGAGCCAAUCAACACACGAUCCUGCCGGCUUUCUGAGAUCCUGGAAACUCUCGCCAAGUCGCCAUGGCACGGCGCAGCAGCAGACAGCAAACACAGAACCACGGCCGCCGGCCGACGAGAGGAGGCCGCGAUUGUCGACCGGCAAGGCCGCGAGCGGCAGGAAGGAUAUGGUGCCGAAGAAGAGAAUCAAGUACCUGAUGCAAGCUCAGGAUCUUGUGUCCUUGCUGGACAAGAAGAGCCCCAUGACAAAGAUUGUGCAGAUUUGAGGUUCCAGCAUGUGUGGAAGAGAUAGGGAAUGAAGAGGAAAAUCGUGUUCAUGAUCUGAUAUCUGGUCAAGAGGAACAUGAUCUCAUUGAGUUCGCGGCGCUACUACCGGUACCGAUGGCAUGUUGAAGGUUUAUUCAACUCAUGUUCAUUUAGUGCGGUAUUUUCAGUGCAAUACUCUAUUUUAAGAUUUUAAAAUUAGAUUGUACAUGUUGAAUACAAAGUAAUAUUUAUCUAGUAGAGUCUUGCAUUUUCUCA